rnacentral:rRNA from 1 species
UCGAUCUCAAAUCAAGUAAGACUACCCGCUGAACGU